CUUAUGUGAGAUUGAUUCAUUAUAAGGAAUUGGCUGACUGGCUCACGCAACUGCGGAGGCUAACAAAUCCCAAGAUCUGUAAGCUAUCGGAGUUUUAAACUUAUCAGAAAUUUUGGAGAUCUUUAGCCUAACUUCCCUCCCAGAGAAGACAGGACUUUGAAGCAGCUUCUGGAAGGAGAAUGAAGGCGAUGAAGAAAUGAUUUAUAAUCCACCUUCCAUGGAGGAAAGACGACGUGGACACAGUUUUAGAGAGCAGGC